UUAUUUCAUUUCUUUGAAUAAUAUCAUCACAACUAAAUGUAUUCUCCUUCUUCUUUGGGUCGUCAGCACUUUACAGCCUCCUGUGCACUCACAAAAAACAGUUACUAAAGCUUUCAAUCCAACAUGUGCAGAAGACGACUACAACCUCUCAGCAGUAUCUGUAUACCUGAGAGAAACUAAUCUACACCAGUCGUCAGGACUACAACAUGUCCUGAAAAAAAUAAUUGGCCACCACACCAAGACUGCAGACCAUUCAUCCAUUACUCCCUGAUGCCCGUACUUAACCAUGCCAGGCAAAGGCUAAUACUACUUUGGCUCUUUGUAGCUCCAACCAGGGCAGGCAGCCAGAAUUUAUGUGUUUUGGGAAGGAGUUCUUCAGCUAAAAUGGACAAGCUAUCAAUCCAGCAUGCCCAUCCUUGACCAUACCAGGCAAAGGCAAAUACUCCCUCAGCACUUUGCAGCUCCAACCAGUGCAGGCUGCAGGAGCUUCUGUGUUUGGGAGAGGAGUUCUUGAGUUAAAAAGAUCAAGAUUCUGCUUUUCUGCGCAUGCUGACCAGAAGCAAACUGAACAUCUACAACACAUGUUCCUUCUCUGACUCUGUGCCAAUCCUUCUCUGUUUUCAA